rnacentral:rRNA from 1 species
CCUACGGGUGGCAGCAGUGAGGAAUAUUGGUCAAUGGGCGAGAGCCUGAACCAGCCAAGUCGCGUGAGGGAAGACGGUCCUAUGGAUUGUAAACCUCUUUUGCCGGGGAGCAAAAAGCGGUACGUGUACCGCAUCGAGAGUACCCGGAGAAAAAGCAUCGGCUAACUCCGUGCCAGCAGCCGCGGUAAUACGGAGGAUGCGAGCGUUAUCCGGAUUUAUUGGGUUUAAAGGGUGCGCAGGCGGCGAGUUAAGUCAGCGGUAAAAUUUCGGGGCUCAACCCCGACGAGCCGUUGAAACUGGCUUGCUAGAGUGGGCGAGAAGUAUGCGGAAUGCGUGGUGUAGCGGUGAAAUGCAUAGAUAUGACGAAGAACCCCGAUUGCGAAGGCAGCUUGCUGCAGCGGAACUGACGCUGAUGCUCGAAAGCGCGGGUAUCGAACAGGAUUAGAUACCCUUGUAGUC